rnacentral:lncRNA from 1 species
ACGUGUUGGUUUAAUCUAUUCGUUUCUUUAUUUUUGUUUACAUCGCUUAUAUGGUCAUCUGAGGUCAAAUCGAUAGUAAAUUAGAUGGCGUCUGGACUAAAAUACACACGAAACGAACCUAUAUAUUAUCUACCCCAUGCUCUGUAAACUGUUUAUUUUAGACUUUUGAUAGUUUGGAUAAAUGUUUUACAUUGUUAUAAACCAAAUAUGAGAAUUUGAGUCAAAUCGGUUACAAUGAAUUUGACAGCUAGUGCCCCUUUAACAUUUAAAUCAA